rnacentral:rRNA from 1 species
UGACGCCCACGGUCGGUAAUUAGCUAGUGGCGGGUAAAGGCCCACCAAGGCGACGAUCCGUAGCUGGUCUGAGAGGAUGAUCAGCCACACUGGAACUGAGACACGGUCCAGACUCCUACGGGAGGCAGCAGUAGGGAAUAUUGGACAAUGGGCGCAAGCCUGAUCCAGCCAUGCCGCGUGAGUGAAGAAGGCCCUCGGGUUGUAAAGCUCUUUUGUCCGGAAAGAAAAGCGCCGGGUUAAUACCCUGGUGUCCUGACGGUACCGGAAGAAUAAGCACCGGCUAACUUCGUG